rnacentral:lncRNA from 1 species
GCAAAUUUUGAGGUGUUACAACUGCCCCUAUUCAAUCCACUGGAGACCCGAAAAGAAGAUAGCAGCGACUUUCGCACUUUCGAGGUAUCAAGGGAUUGAAUACAAUAAAAGACUGAAAAUUUGCACUGGAGCGAAGUGAAGUAACAAUGCCUGUCAGAAUCGGCAAAGAGGUGGUCUCGAAAGAAGAAUCCGUCUGGUACGGUGAGAGUCGG